rnacentral:lncRNA from 12 species
GUACAUUUUCACCUAAGAAAAGCUGAGUUUAAAAAAAUGUUAAAAAUUGUCUGUUAGUCCUUUGUCUUGGCCUUUAAUGAAGACAGAUGACCUUUAAAGAUAGUUUCUAAUGGUCAUAUCAAAAUUUAUUUUUAUUGAUAUUGAACCAUCAUGCUUCACCUACUAACUUCUCUCAAGUGUUCAAUAGCAUUUUAUUUUCAUUUCCAGGGCUACAUUAAGCCACUGAGAUCAAGAACUACUCCAGUUAUGCAUCUUCACAUAAAUGUGGAAAGUACAUCACUAUUAUCAAGUAUUUAGGAACGUAUUAGAAUAUUCUGCAAAUACAUAAUGCUGUAAGAAAUGUAAUAAUAAUGGAGAAGAAAUCAAAAUCUAUAUGGUUACUUUAAAGAUGUUUUUAAACAAACGAGGGAAAGAUUCACAGGUGAUUUACACACGAGUGAUUACACGGCACAAGCAUCACUCACUCUUCUCCAUGGGAGGUGGAAGCAGUGUCUGCUUUGAGAAUGUAGGAGAAAAAUCUGGGAGUGCUUGGCUCAUCUUUUUGGAUUGCCCUCUCAUCCGUCAGCCUAAGGUUGGAAUCUAAGAGAGAAAAAGAAAAAAGAAAAGUUUACCAUUCAUAAUCUCAAACAGCAAAUAUAAAUCCUGACGGAC